rnacentral:rRNA from 1 species
UACGGAGGGCGCAAGCGUUGUUCGGAAUUACUGGGCGUAAAGCGCGUGUAGGCGGCCAGGUAAGUCGGAUGUGAAAGCCCGGGGCCCAACCCCGGAACUGCACCCGAUACUGCCUGGCUGGAGUCCCGGAGAGGAUGGCGGAAUUUCCGGUGUAGAGGUGAAAUUCGUAGAUAUCGGAAGGAACCCCAGUGGCGAAGGCGGCCAUCUGGACGGUGACUGACGCUUAGAAGCGAAAGCGUGGGGAGCAAACAUG